ACGGCUCAGUAACACGUGGACAAUCUAACCUAUGGUGGGGGAUAACCCCGGGAAACUGGGGAUAAUACCCCAUAGACUAUGAAUGCUGGAAUGCUUUGUAGUUGAAAGGUCCGCCGCCAUAGGAUGGGUCUGCGGCCGAUUAGGUUGUUGUUGGGGUAACGGCCCAACAAGCCUGUAAUCGGUACGGGUUGUGGGAGCAAGAGCCCGGAGAUGGAUUCUGAGACACGAAUCCAGGCCCUACGGGGCGCAGCAGGCGCGAAAACUUUACAAUGCGGGAAACCGUGAUAAGGGAACUCCGAGUGCCCGUAAAAUCGGGCUGUCCACCAGUUUAAAUAACUGGUGAAGAAAGGGCCGGGCAAGACCGGUGCCAGCCGCCGCGGUAAUACCGGCGGCUCGAGUGGUGGCCACUAUUACUGGGCUUAAAGCGUUCGUAGCUGGUCUGUUAAGUCUCUGGGGAAAUCUACUGGCUUAACCAAUAGGCGUCUCAGGGAUACUGGCAGACUAGGGACCGGGAGAGGUGAGAGGUACUCCAGGGGUAGGAGUGAAAUCCUGUAAUCCUUGGGGGACCACCUGUGGCGAAGGCGUCUCACCAGAACGGCUCCGACAGUGAGGGACGAAAGCUGGGGGAGCAAACCGGAUUAGAUACCCGGGUAGUCCCAGCCGUAAACGAUGCGCGUUAGGUGUAUCGAUGACCACGAGUCAUCGAGGUGCCGAAGAGAAAUCGUGAAACGUGCCGCCUGGGAAGUACGGUCGCAAGGCUGAAACUUAAAGGAAUUGGCGGGGGAGCAC
rnacentral:rRNA from 1 species